CUCAAGUGAAUGGGGGGGGGGGAGAGAAAAAAGUUUGUUUAGUGUGCUACAGAAAAGUUUGAUAGUCCCUUUUUCUGUGAGGCCACAGUGCUAACAACAGCACCAUCCAGGAUCUGGUAGUGCUUGCUAGUUAAAAAUAAACUUUGCUCUACGAAGAGAUGAUCUGGCUGGAUUCCUGAGCUCAGACGGUUUAAUAUGGAUGAGCAUCAAGGUCCUGUAGGCAAAAUGCUG